GGCGUGGAAGAGGUAAAGAGAGGUAGAGGCGUGGAAGAGGUAAAGAGAGGUAGAGGCGUGGAAGAGGUAGAGGCGCGGAAGAGGUAGAGGCGUGGAAGAGGUAAAGAGAGGUAGAGGGGUGGAAGAGGUAAAG